AGUGCGACCUGGCCUUCUUCCCCUCCCCCAUGCGGCCGGCUUCCGAGUGCGCAAGCCCAGAGUCGUCCGCGUUGUCCGCCUCUGCGCAAGCGCCGUGCUCCUCCCACGGCAGUUGGCCAUAUAGAGGCUGGGGGUGGGGGGGGAGGUCAAGCGUAGCCUCUUCUCCUUUACCAAGAUGGCGGCUUGUCCCUGUUUCGCCACAGUUCCUACCUUAUGAGCUCGGUUUUCUUAUGCUUAUAAGAGUGGAACAGACACAUGCCUCACUCCUGUCAGCAGUUCCACCUUUUCAUGGUUGAGGAGCACAUGUGGUCGCCAGCCUCCCAUCUCCAGAGUCCCCUAAGGCAAGGUGACUCACCCUCCUACUUCACAGAGUU
rnacentral:lncRNA from 1 species